GGGCGAUUAGCUCAGUUGGUAGAGCAGCUGACUCUUAAUCAGCGGGUCGAAGGUUCGAGUCCUUCAUCGCCCACCA
rnacentral:tRNA from 3 species